AACGAACGCUGGCGGCAGGCUUAACACAUGCAAGUCGAACGUGAUCUUCGGAUCUAGUGGCAGACGGGUGAGGAACACGUGGGAACAUCCCUUUCAGUUCGGAAUAACGUUGGGAAACUAACGCUAAUACCGGAUACGUCCUUCGGGAGAAAGAUUUAUCGCUGAAAGAUUGGCCCGCGUCUGAUUAGCUAGUUGGUGAGGUAACGGCUCACCAAGGCUACGAUCAGUAGCUGAUCUGAGAGGAUGAUCAGCCACAUUGGGACUGAGACACGGCCCAAACUCCUACGGGAGGCAGCAGUGGGGAAUAUUGGACAAUGGGCGCAAGCCGGAUCCAGCCAUGCCGCGUGAGUGAUGACGGCCUUCGGGUUGUAAAGCUCUUUUGUCCGGGAAGAUAAUGACUGUACCGGAAGAAUAAGCCCCGGCAAACUUCGUGCCAGCCGCCGCCGUAA
rnacentral:rRNA from 1 species